rnacentral:lncRNA from 1 species
AACAUGCACAUCCAUAAUCCAACAUCAAUAACCAUUAAACCAUGCUAAACAAAAAAUAUUAAGCAAGAACAAGUUUGGACAUCAAAGUUCAUUUCACCCUAACUCUCUAAAUAUCCAACCAAUCAUCACGAUUCAAAGAGCAGAGUAACCAGCAAGGCAAGCUCUACACAAAGCCUAUCAUUAUUUCAAGAAAUGAGAUGUUCGAAUCCUUACUUGUUUUU